GAUGAACGCUGGCGGCGUGCUUAACACAUGCAGGUCGAGCGAAGCACUUAUGAAGAUUCUUCGGAUGAAUCAUUUGUGACUGAGCGGCGGACGGGUGAGUAACGCGUGAGUAACCUGCCUUAUACAGGGGAAUAACAGUUAGAAAUGACUGCUAAUGCCGCAUAAGCGCACAGGACCGCAUGGUCCGGUGUGAAAAACUCCGGUGGUAUGAGAUGGACUCGCGUCUGAUUAGCUGGUUGGUGAGGUAACGGCCCACCAAGGCGACGAUCAGUAGCCGGCCUGAGAGGGUGAACGGCCACAUUGGGACUGAGACACGGCCCAAACUCCUACGGGAGGCAGCAGUGGGGAAUAUUGCACAAUGGGGGAAACCCUGAUGCAGCGACGCCGCGUGAGUGAAGAAGUAUUUCGGUAUGUAAAGCUCUAUCAGCAGGGAAGAAAAUGACGGUACCUGACUAAGAAGCCCCGGCUAACUACGUGCCAGCCGCCGCAGUAA
rnacentral:rRNA from 1 species